UACGGCUAUAUCAGUUUGAAUUACCGGUUCCUAUACGAUAACCGUUACUAAGCAACAUCGAGCCUGGUCAGUAUUUAGAUGGAUGACCGCUUGGGAAUACCACAUGCUGCAAA